UACGUAGGGUGCGAGCGUUGUCCGGAAUUAUUGGGCGUAAAGGGCUCGUAGGCGGUUUGUCGCGUCGGGUGUGAAAACUCAGGGCUUAACCCUGAGCCUGAUUCCGAUACGGGCAGACUAGAGGUAUGCAGGGGAGAACGGAAUUCCUGGUGUAGCGGUGAAAUGCGCAGAUAUCAGGAGGAACACCGGUGGCGAAGGCGGUUCUCUGGGCAUUACCUGACGCUGAGGAGCGAAAGUGUGGGGAGCGAACAGG
rnacentral:rRNA from 1 species